CAGGAAGAGAAAAAAACACUAGUUUCUGCCCCGGUUACUUUAGGUGGGAUGUGUAUGGCUUCUUGUUUGCUCAAUUACAAAUCAAAGCUCUCUUGAAACCCAAAAAGAUUCUCUCCAACAAACAGCCUGUGAAUAAAAAAGAAAAGCACAGAUCCACUCCCAAAGAUCGGAUCUUUUUGAAGGUUCUUGUUUCACUCAUCUGGAAAGUUCCAGGCUUUAACAAGAAAUGUCACAGAAACAUCUUGAAUCAUCACGAAACUCGAUCGAAUCUUGCACCUUACAGCUCCUCUCAUGGCGUCCAUUUCACCGCUCCAAAACCCUAGACCCAUCUGAACAGCCCCAGUCACAGAGCCCUUACGGCGGCUCCAUCUCCACCAAACGCCCUUGCUUCUCCGAUCGCUCCACCACUUCUUUCUCCAUCGAAGCUAUGAGCCGUCUCUCUCUCGCCGACGAAGACAAGCUCUCAGCUUCCAAUUGCAACAGUAAGGGGAGUUUCCGCUUAGUAGCGAGGAAGCGCCGGCGUCGCAAUUCUAGAUCGGUGUCUGGUCGGAGUAGCGAUCGGAGCGGGACUCUGAGAUGCUGCUCCAUCGGAGCUCACGGGACUUGCUCUGAUUUUCCGUUUGCUGUCGGUACGGAUUCGAGCGGUGAGCUGUUUAGCGAAGCGAAUUGGGCUUCCGAUGUGAGCGAGGCACGGAGAUCGCGGCAAGAGCGGCGGGAUUCCGGCGGAGAGAAGGAAGCUUCCGGGUUUGGGUUCCCCGUUGGUGUCGACCCGAUGGGGAACGAAUCUGGGUACGGGAGUGAGCCUGGGUACAGAGGAGAUGUUGAGUUUGGUUAUGGUGAUGAGUACGAUGAUGAAGAAGAAGACGUGAAGCCAUUGUUUUGGGGAGAUUCAACUGUGGAGAUGUCUGGUGAUGCGAAAUUCUCAGAUAGUAAACCUCAGUUCAGGUGCCGCAGGAGACGACAACAUGACUACAAAACUGUUGAUUCCAUGAGAUAACACACAUUGGCACACACAUAAGACAAGUUGGACUUCGGUUCACGGCCAAAGCUUUUUCGGCCCAAUUCCAUGAGAUAACACACAUUAAUUAGCACACAGACAUUCUUUCAAGACAAGCGGGUCUUAUUGGAGGAACUUUCCAUGUAUUUUUUUUAACUUUUAACAAGACCUGGAAAUUUAAGAGCUUCUUCUCUAGCAAAUUUUUUUAUAUAUAUGUGUAUAGUGGAUCUGUAUUUGUUGUAGGCCAUCUUGAUGCCACGCGUUGCUUUCGUAGUGUUUUGGGAGGAGAAAACGAGGGGAGAAAAAAUCAGUUUGAAGGGGAAGAAAAAAAUGGGUGGAUCAGACGAGAACAAGCACGGAGUUAUCGGACCCAUGAAUCCACAAGGUGGUUUACGUGGAGGAAAGGUGAAUCCGGCGAAUGGGCAGACACGAAGAGCACUCAGUAACAUAAACAAGAACAUCAUCGGAGCUCCGGUUUAUCCUUGUGCUGUCAACAAGCGACCGUUGUUUGAGAAGAAUGUGAUGUGUAACAAGAA